rnacentral:tRNA from 1 species
UGGAUCGGUAGUUCAGUCGGUUUAGAACGCCGGCCUGUCACGCCGGAGGUCGCGGGUUCGAGUCCCGUCCGAUCCGU